CGGCCCAGACUCCUACGGGAGGCAGCAGUGGGGAAUUUUGGACAAUGGGCGCAAGCCUGAUCCAGCCAUGCCGCGUGUCUGAAGAAGGCCUUCGGUUGUAAGGACUUUGUCAGGGAGCAAAACUUACUGGUUAAUACCUGGUGAGGUUGAGAGUACCUGAAGAAUAAGCACCGGCUAACUACGUGCCAGCAGCCGCGGUAAUACGUAGGGUGCAAGCGUUAAUCGGAAUUACUGGGCGUAAAGCGUGCGCAGGCGGACUUUUAAGCCAGAUGUGAAAGCCCCGAGCUUAACUUGGGAAUUGCGUUUGGAACUGGGAGUCUAGAGUCUGUCAGAGGGGGAUGGAAUUCCACGUGUAGCAGUGAAAUGCGUAGAGAUGUGGAGGAACACCGAUGGCGAAGGCAGUCCCCUGGGAUAAGACUGACGCUCAUGCACGAAAGCGUGGGGGAGCAAAACAGGGAUUAGGAUACCCCUGGUAGUCCACGCCCUAAACGAUGUCUACUAGUUGUUGGGGUAGCAAUACCUCAGUGACG
rnacentral:rRNA from 1 species